GACGAACGCUGGCGGCGCGCCUCAUACAUGCAAGUCGAGCGUGAAGCGGGACUUCGGUCCCGUGGAAAGCGGCGAACGGGUGCGUAACACGUGAGCAACCUGCCCCAAAGACUGGGAUAACCCGGGGAAACCCGGGCUAAUACCGGAUGUCCUCCUCCGAUCGCAUGGUUGGAAGAGGAAAUGUUCAGGCGCUUUGGGAUGGGCUCGCGGUCUAUCAGCUUGUUGGUGGGGUAACGGCCUACCAAGGCGACGACGGAUAGCUGGUCUGAGAGGACGAUCAGCCACACUGGGACUGAGACACGGCCCAGACUCCUACGGGAGGCAGCAGUAGGGAAUCUUGCGCAAUGAGGGAAACCUUGACGCAGCGACGCCGCGUGCGGGAUGAAGGCCUUCGGGUUGUAAACCGCUUUCAGCAGGGACGAAAUUGACGGUACCUGCAGAAGAAGGCCCGGCCAACUACGUGC
rnacentral:rRNA from 1 species